CUACGGGAGGCAGCAGUGGGGAAUAUUGGACAAUGGGCGAAAGCCUGAUCCAGCAAUGCCGCGUGGAUGAAGAAGGUCUUCGGAUUGUAAAGUCCUUUCGGCGGGGACGAUGAUGACGGUACCCGCAGAAGAAGCCCCGGCUAACUUCGUGCCAGCAGCCGCGGUAAUACGAAGGGGGCUAGCGUUACUCGGAAUGACUGGGCGUAAAGGGCGCGUAGGCGGUUUGGACAGUUAGGCGUGAAAUUCCUGGGCUCAACCUGGGGGCUGCGCUUAAUACAUCCAGACUUGAGUGUGGAAGAGGGUCGUGGAAUUCCCAGUGUAGAGGUGAAAUUCGUAGAUAUUGGGAAGAACACCGGUGGCGAAGGCGGCGACCUGGUCCAUUACUGACGCUGAGGCGCGAAAGCGUGGGGAGCAAACAGGAUUAGAUACCCCUGUAGUCC
rnacentral:rRNA from 1 species